rnacentral:rRNA from 1 species
GAUGAACGCUGGCGGCGUGCCUAAUACAUGCAAGUCGAGCGAACGGACGAGAAGCUUGCUUCUCUGAUGUUAGCGGCGGACGGGUGAGUAACACGUGGAUAACCUACCUAUAAGACUGGGAUAACUUCGGGAAACCGGAGCUAAUACCGGAUAAUAUUUUGAACCGCAUGGUUCAAAAGUGAAAGACGGUCUUGCUGUCACUUAUAGAUGGAUCCGCGCUGCAUUAGCUAGUUGGUAAGGUAACGGCUUACCAAGGCAACGAUGCAUAGCGGACCUGAGAGGGAGGGCGGACACACUGGGACUGAGACACGGUGGAGACCAAGGCGUGAGGGAGCAGUGGGGAGGCUUCCGUGAUGGGCUAAAGACAGAAGGAUCAACGUAGUGUGAAUGAUGAAGGUCUUAGGAACGUAAAACUCUGUUAUCAGGGAAGAACAAAAGAGUAAGUAACAAUGCCCAUCCGGCAGCGGCCUAAACAGACCGCCACGGCUCCCAUCAGC